CAGCAGCCGCGGUAAUACGAAGGGGGCUAGCGUUGCUCGGAAUCACUGGGCGUAAAGGGUGCGUAGGCGGGUCUUUAAGUCAGGGGUGAAAUCCUGGAGCUCAACUCCAGAACUGCCUUUGAUACUGAAGAUCUUGAGUUCGGGAGAGGUGAGUGGAACUGCGAGUGUAGAGGUGAAAUUCGUAGAUAUUCGCAAGAACACCAGUGGCGAAGGCGGCUCACUGGCCCGAUACUGACGCUGAGGCACGAAAGCGUGGGGAGCAAACAGGAUUAGAUACCCGGGUAGUCCCUGUCUCUUAUAC
rnacentral:rRNA from 1 species